rnacentral:rRNA from 1 species
UGCCAGCCGCCGCGGUAAUACGGAGGGUGCAAGCGUUAAUCGGAAUUACUGGGCGUAAAGCGCGCGUAGGCGGUCUUGUCCGUCAGGUGUGAAAGCUCGGGGCUCAACCCCGGAAGUGCACUUGAUACUGCGCUGACUUGAAUCCAGUAGGGGAGUGUGGAAUUCCUGGUGUAGCGGUGAAAUGCACAGAUAUCAGGAGGAACACCUAUGGCGAAGGCAGCACUCUGGGCUGGUAUUGACGCUGAGGAGCGAAAGCAUGGGUAGCAAACAGGAUUAGAUA